AUGUCACAACCAACGAAAUCCAGCGUGGGAGGGGGGUCCCCCCGCCCCCCAGUUUCUAUCUGGCCGUGUGGGUCCUUGCACAACACCCCCGGCGGUCACAUCCUGGUGCCUGCGCUUCCCCCAGACGUGUUCAGCCUGCCCGAGAAUCCCCCCGCCCCAACAUGUAAAACGCGAAAACUUAGAUUGGCUGGUGCAGAGGGCAUCGCUGUCGGCAGAUUUCAGGUGACAUGCAAAGCAGAUUGGUUGCCAGGAAACAUGGAUUUAUUCCAUAUCUCACCUCUUCCCUUUUUCCGGAGCAUGAGGCUUUCUCAACAUCUGUCCCUCCUUCGUGUUUUUCAUGGUGCAGUAGGUAACUUAAGAUCUGAUGCUACAGAAUGUUGAGUACUCACAACUUCCAUGGAAGUCAAUAGGAUGCCUGGGCGGCGUGUGAACCGC
rnacentral:lncRNA from 1 species